rnacentral:tRNA from 1 species
GUGGCUGUGGCUCAGUGGUAGAGUGCUUGCCUGGCACGUGAGGCCUUGGGUUCAAUGCUCAGCACCACA